rnacentral:lncRNA from 1 species
CCUUACAACAUGCUGGGUUUCUGGAGAUUCCCUGCCCCUCCCCAGGGCACACUGGCACCUGUUCAUGGCCCUGGACCUUAGCAAGGCCAACACAGUGGUCCAUCGUGUAGCCAGCCAGGGAUGUGUGAGCUCUGGCUACUUAGGAUGGUUCAUCCUGGUGGCCCUGCCUGGUGAGACUGUGGGGCCAACUUUUCCCUCAUCCUGUGAGGAGUCCAUGCAGCAUGGGAUAAAGAGACCACUGCUUCUGCUUUGCUUCUAUUGAUACCUGCCACUGAGCAACUGUACUAUACUGAUACCGGUACAGAGUUAUACUGAGGGAUGCUGGUAAAGAUCAAUAGGUGACUCCAUGGCUGAUUUUUAACUUGCCAACACAGUUUUAUUUAAUGAAGUAGCUACUCUACAGUGUUUCCAUGACUAUUUUUAAUACUCAAAUGAUCUUAUGGUUAUAGAUAAAAGUAUACAACUAUGCCAGGUGUGGUGGCUUAUGCCUGUAAUUGCAGUGGCUUGGGAGGCUGAGACAGGAGGAUUGCAAGUUCAAAGCCAGCCUCAGUAAAAGUGAGGUGCUAAGCAACUCAGUGAAACCUUCUCUCUAAAUAAAAUACAAAAUAAUACUGGGGAUGUGGCUCAGUGGUUGAGUGCCCCUGAGUUCAAACUCUGUUACCAAAAAAAUAAAAAAGAAAAAAAGAAAAGUACACAACUAGGAAGCAAUAUGCCC